CUUAUUGCAAUGAUGUAUCACUAAGCUAUUAAUUAAAAAUAUGCUUAAAACUUCUUUUUCAAUUUGGAGGUGGCUCACAAAUAUACCUAGCUUUUGCUGAAUAACCAAAAACCUUAUUGAUGGCAUUGACUUGGUAAAAUUGUCCGCAGUCUUUACUUUAACCCUACAAUGAUUAAAGAAUGACAAUAACAUUUGUUCAAAGUUAAGGUAAAAGCUUCUACUUCCUACGAUAAUAUUGUAAUUAUCUAUUAAAACUUAAAAAUCUCAUUAUUAAUUGUUAAAUAAUAUAUGAUGAAAUAAAUAAACAAACAUUUACAUACCUUUUUAGAGAAAUUUAAUCUUUUAAUGUUUUCAUAAAACAUCAAUAGCAAGUUCAACAAAUUCAAUCUGUGCAACACAAUAGCAAGUUUAGCAACCCAUAAUAAAUUAAAAAAAGAGAUUAAAAUCCCAAAUCCUAAAUGAAUAAAAUCCCAAAGUUUAGCAAGAAUAUUUCAAGUUUAAAAUGCUUAUUUUAAUUCACUGCAUUUUUUGCAUUAAUUGUUCUUUUACACAUCUCAACAAGACUUGAGUAUCUGAAUGGAGAUGAUGCUUUUGAUGAGGAUGAUGAUGAAAAGAUGAUGCUUUUGAUGAGGAUGGAGAUGAAAAGGAUGACGACGAUGAUGAUAGCCACAAUGGAAGCAAUAACGAAGAAUCGGAUGAUGUUUAAAUAAAAAUAAUUUACAAUAAAAAUUUAAGUACUUUUUAAAGAAUUAACCUCUCUAGAAUCUUAAUACCUUUGAACUUAAGGUAAACAAUGUUUAUAAUUAUUUCGUUAUAUAUACGAUUACCAAAUAUUUUUUGAAAAUACCUGUCAAUUUUGAUUAUCUAAUAAGAUAUCAAGCUAUCUUCAUUAGGUUUCCUGCAGAUUAAUAUAGAUGAAUUUAAAAAUAGCUCUUACAGUAAUAAAUACAUAAAUACGUAUAGACUUAUAGUGAAAUUAUUGAAAUACAAAUCAUGUUCCGCAUAAAACGUAGUUGAUCACUAUGAUUUUUUCAAUAAUUGAAUCCUUGGUUAUUGUUCCAUUUCGAUUCAGUGGUUUUAUACCAUAGCUCUUGAUCGAUCAGUGGUUUUAUACCAUAGCUCCAUUUCGAUUCAGUGGUUUUAUACGCCGCUUCCAACAUACACUACAAUUCAAUAACACAAUUGAAAUGGAGAAAGAUAAUUAAUUUACCUCAAAAAAUUCACAAUUGAGUCGUCGUAAAAAAAUUUGACGAUAUACUCGUGUACGUCUUUCUUUUCUUGUUUUUCAAGUGAUCUUCCAUUGUAGUUUGUUUUAGUUUUUGAGUAUUUCGUUCACGAACGAUGCUUUCAAUUGUUUGUCCCUUCUCUAAGUCCAAUGAUCCGUAUACCUUGACGGAACCCGCGGUGGAUGUGGUGGAUCCAAUUACACUUGAUAGUUUUUUUCUUAAGAUAGUUCGACGUCAAUAAUCGUUGUAAAUGACUUUUUCGAGUUCAUAUACUCGACUAACUUUCGAAGUACAUGGCAUGAUACUUUUAAACAUUUGAUAACAUUUUUUUUCCAUUGGACAUGCCAGUCAAGUGUGUCUUCAACCUAGCCAGUGACGUAUCCAAGAUUCCCCGACAAAGAAGGCAAGAUUCAUCGAAGGCAAAAAAAAAUUGUAUUAAUUUAAAAAUAAAAUUUUGGCAUGACCUAUUCAUAAAAUCGAUAAUGUCAUCAAUCUCAUUGAUAAUCGAUAAUGUUUUUGGUUGACAAUGACCUUUUUGAAUGUACUUCCUUCUAAUAUCAUCAAUCUCAUUGAUAUUAUACAUUGACAUCUUCUUUCUUAAUGCUGAAUCAGAAGAAAGAUCAUCGGAAGCUAAUGGUUUAGGAAUAAUAGAUAAUCGUUUUUUUUACUUGUUUUCGGAAUAUCUUCUUGCGGUUGUGGAGAAAGAGUUGUCUUUUUAAAAUAUUUCUCCAUCUGUAAUUUAAGAAUUAAGAUUAACCUUAAAUCUAAGAAUACAAUCCUAUAUUUUUAAAUCCAACUAUAAAAUUAUAUAAGAAAUAAUGCAUAAAAUUAUAAAUCUAUCAAUUCUAAAAAUAAUAAAAAAAGUAACAGAACCUUUACAAAUGAAGAUCUUUUUAAACUUUCCACAAAUGAUAAAUCCCUAAAUCAAUUGUUGGUUAUCUGCAAUGAUAAAUGAUACAAACAAUGUACAUUAGAUACCCAAAACCAUCUUCAUAAAUCAUAAGUUCCACUAACAGUUUCAAGUUGAAGAAUGAAAACAGACUGAAUUGGAGAAUGAAAUUAAAGCAAGAUGAUUAAUUUCUUUAAUUUAAGUUUUGUUUUAACAUGCCGAUUUUUUUAUACACUAGAGGCUGUAAUUUUUUUGAUAGAUUCUUUAUUUAUUACUCUAACUCCAUUUUGAAACAGAUACCUCAAACGUGGAGUCAACAAAGAGGGUAAAGUUGCAAAUGAAGUUGAAACAAAACAAUUGACUUAUAUCAUAACCUUAAUUAUUGUUUUCCUAAGUGUCAAUUGUCAAAGAAUCAAAAUAAUUUGGAAGUUACUCGGCUUAAUUUCGAGGAUUUAUUCAAUAGAUAUGACCAUAUAUGGAGAUUCCAUAAUAAUGAACGACUUUCUAAGAGGUCAUGUAAACUUCAAUAAUUACCCAAAACUACAAACAGUACAAAAAACAAGAUAAAAAAAACGACACAACUUGCAGAACUUUAAUUGAUGCAAAUUACAUCCAAAUUAACAGAUUAACUCAAAACAGAAGAAGAAAUGGAGGGGGGGGAACCCUCAUUACCUCUGUCAAUGAAAAUAAAUGCCUUCCUGUUUAGCUGCCUCCUGAUUUAGCCGUCGGUGAAAUUGUGAAAAUAGGGAUUUGCGAUUUAAC
rnacentral:lncRNA from 1 species